rnacentral:rRNA from 1 species
GGAGCGUUCUGUAAGCCUGCGAAGGUGUGCUGUGAGGCAUGCUGGAGGUAUCAGAAGUGCGAAUGCUGACAUAAGUAACGAUAAAGCGGGUGAAAAGCCCGCUCGCCGGAAGACCAAGGGUUCCUGUCCAACGUUAAUCGGGGCAGGGUGAGUCGACCCCUAAGGCGAGGCCGAAAGGCGUAGUCGAUGGGAAACAGGUUAAUAUUCCUGUACUUGGUGUUACUGCGAAGGGGGGACGGAGAAGGCUAUGUUGGCCGGGCGACGGUUGUCCCGGUUUAAGCGUGUAGGCUGGUUUUCCAGGCAAAUCCGGAAAAUCAAGGCUGAGGCGUGAUGACGAGGCACUACGGUGCUGAAGCAACAAAUGCCCUGCUUCCAGGAAAAGCCUCUAAGCAUCAGGUAACAUCAAAUCGUACCCCAAACCGACACAGGUGGUCAGGUAGAGAAUACCAAGGCGCUUGAGAGAACUCGGGUGAAGGAACUAGGCAAAAUGGUGCCGUAACUUCGGGAGAAGGCACGCUGAUAUGUAGGUGAAGUCCCUUGCGGAUGGAGCUGAAAUCAGUCGAAGAUACCAGCUGGCUGCAACUGUUUAUUAAAAACACAGCACUGUGCAAACACGAAAGUGGACGUAUACGGUGUGACGCCUGCCCGGUGCCGGAAGGUUAAUUGAUGGGGUCAGCGCAAGCGAAGCUCUUGAUCGAAGCCCCGGUAAACGGCGGCCGUAACUAUAACGGUCCUAAGGUAGCGAAAUUCCUUGUCGGGUAAGUUCCGACCUGCACGAAUGGCGUAAUGAUGGCCAGGCUGUCUCCACCCGAGACUCAGUGAAAUUGAACUCGCUGUGAAGAUGCAGUGUACCCGCGGCAAGACGGAAAGACCCCGUGAACCUUUACUAUAGCUUGACACUGAACAUUGAGCCUUGAUGUGUAGGAUAGGUGGGAGGCUUUGAAGUGUGGACGCCAGUCUGCAUGGAGCCGGCCUUGAAAUACCACCCUUUAAUGUUUGAUGUUCUAACGUGGACCCGUGAUCCGGGUUGCGGACAGUGUCUGGUGGGUAGUUUGACUGGGGCGGUCUCCUCCUAAAGAGUAACGGAGGAGCACGAAGGUUGGCUAAUCCUGGUCGGACAUCAGGAGGUUAGUGCAAUGGCAUAAGCCAGCUUGACUGCGAGCGUGACGGCGCGAGCAGGUGCGAAAGCAGGUCAUAGUGAUCCGGUGGUUCUGAAUGGAAGGGCCAUCGCUCAACGGAUAAAAGGUACUCCGGGGAUAACAGGCUGAUACCGCCCAAGAGUUCAUAUCGACGGCGGUGUUUGGCACCUCGAUGUCGGCUCAUCACAUCCUGGGGCUGAAGUAGGUCCCAAGGGUAUGGCUGUUCGCCAUUUAAAGUGGUACGCGAGCUGGGUUUAGAACGUCGUGAGACAGUUCGGUCCCUAUCUG